UUCCCAGUGGCGGGAAACACUGCAUAUAUAUACAGAAAAUAAGAUGCGACUGAACAAAAACCGGAUAGAAGGCGCUGCCGAGCAGGGCGAGCGGGCAAGCCUCCGCGAAGCUCUUGUGAUCAAGUCGAAGUGGCGUAGAUCCGACGGUUGUGCAGCGAAGGAGUGCGUU
rnacentral:ncRNA from 1 species